rnacentral:rRNA from 1 species
UUAUAGUUUGACUUCCCGAAACCAAGCGAGCUACUUCAAGGCAGCCUUUAGGGCCCACCCGUCUCUGUGGCAAAAGAGUGGGACGACCUUCAAGUAGAGGUGACAGACCUAACGAGCUUGGUGAUAGCUGGUUGCUUAGAAAACGGAUCUUAGUCCACCCUUAAACCCCACUCAACCUUUACAAGUGACUUAAAAGUUUAAGAGUCAUUCAAAUAAGGUACAGCUUAUUUGAACCAGGGCACAACCUCGACAAAAGGGUAAUAUUACACUUUUGUGAAAAAGUAGGCUUAAAAGCAGCCACCUUAACAAAAAGCGUCACAGCUUAAACACACUUCAACCUAAAUCCCAGCACUCACGCAGAACCCUUACCCACUACUAAGCAAUUCUAUACUCUUAUAGAAACACUUAUGCUAGAACUAGUAACAAGAAGACAACCUUCUCUUAAAUACACGUGUAAAUCAAAAUGGACCCCCCGCUGAUACUUAACGCCUUUGACCACCUAGUAACAACACCCCCAAGAAAACCUUACUAAAACCAACGUUAACCUAACACAAGAGUAUUUCAAGAAAGAUUUAAAGAAAAGGAAGGAACUCGGCAAACAUUAACUUCGCCUGUUUACCAAAAACAUCGCCUCUUGAAAAUAUAAGAGGUCCAGCCUGGCCAGUGAUUCUGUUCAACGGCCGCGGUAUUCUGACCGUGCGAAGGUAGCGUAAUCACUUGGUCUUUAAAUAAGGACUAGUAUGAAUGGCACCACGAGGGUUAUACUGUCUCCCUUUUCUAAUCAGUUAACCUAAUCUCCCCGUGAAGAAGCGAGGAUAUUUUUAUAAGACGAGAAGACCCCAUGGAGCUUCAAACAAACAGCACUUGCUAGCCUAUAUUUACUUCAUCAAGCCAAGCAUCCUGACUGCUAGUUUUCGGUUGGGGCGACCGCGGAGAACAACCCACCCUCCGCGCUGGAAGAAGGCCUCUUCUUAACCUCAAGCUACACCUUUAAGUACCAAUAACUUGACAACUAUUGACCCAAUAAAAUUGAUCAACGAACCUAGUUACCCUGGGGAUAACAGCGCAAUCCAUUUCAAGAGCCCCUAUCGACAAAUGGGUUUACGACCUCGAUGUUGGAUCAGGGUAUCCCAGUGGUGCAGCCG